GCGAGCGUUGUCCGAAGUUACUGGGCGUAAAGAGCUCGUAGGUGGUUUGUCGCGUUGUUCGUGAAAACUCACAGCUCAACUGUGGGCGUGCGGGCGAUACGGGCAGACUUGAGUACUGCAGGGGAGACUGGAAUUCCUGGUGUAGCGGUGGAAUGCGCAGAUAUCAGGAGGAACACCGGUGGCGAAGGCGGGUCUCUGGGCAGUAACUGACGCUGAGGAGCGAAAGCGUGGGGAGCGAACAGG
rnacentral:rRNA from 1 species